GAUGAACGCUGGCGGCGUGCCUAAUACAUGCAAGUCGAACGCUUCGACCAUCAGCUUUCCCCUCUCACGUUAGCGGCGAGCGGGUGAGUAACGGGUAGAUAACCGACGUAUACCUCUGGGAUAACUUCGGGAAACCGGAGGUAAUACCUGCUAAUAUAUUAAACCACUUUGUUCAAUAUGGAAUGACAGUUUUGCUGGCACUUGUAUAUGGAUCCGCGCCGGAUUAGCUAGUUGGUAAGGUAACGGCUUACCAAGGCAACGAUGCGUAGCCGACCUGAGAGGGUGAUCGGCCACACUGGAACUGAGACACGGUCCAGACUCCUACGGGAGGCAGCAGUAGGGAAUCUUCCGCAAUGGGCGAAAGCCUGACGGAGCAACGCCGCGUGAGUGAUGAAGGUCUUCGGAUCGUAAAACUCUGUUAUUAGGGAAGAACAAAUGUGUAAGUAACUAUGCACGUCUUGACGGUACCUAAUCAGAAAGCCACGGCUAACUACGUG
rnacentral:rRNA from 1 species